UAAAGACCCCACGGUUACUAUGGCUAAGGAGCAUGGCUAAUCGUGCCCAUCAUAAGUGAUCUCAGGAAAAUCAGCAGCGAAAUAGGAAAACUGAUGCCAUCAUCAAAAUAUAAUAACACGUCUGAUGGAGCUCUCAAUUUCAAAGCCAACAUGUACACAAGACAGUAACAGGUCUUCUACAUCGGAUAAUGUUGUCAAAAAUACAGGACUGUAGGUAUUGGAUUGUGAUGAAGCUCAAAUAAGUCCAUGUCUGAUGAUCUCUGUACUGAACAGCUACCUCUUCAAAGUUACCUAGUUAGAAGAAUGGGUCCCUUUAAAUCACCAAGAUGCUCACAGCUCUAUCAAAGACUUCAUGGAUUAUGUUCAAGGUUCUUGAGGAUGGGCUGAACCUGACUCUCCAUCCACUGCUUUCUCUGCAUGUCACUAGAGACUGGCCCUAGACUAUUUAGGGACUAGGCCUUUAAUCACAAGAUUACCUGAAAGCCGACUCAAGGUUAACAUAUGGGGUAGCCAACAGUCACAUGAAUGUGGCUCUCCCCUUCCAAAAAUGUAACAUGUGGCUUUAAUUUUAUUUAAUUUAUUUAUUCUUUCAAUUUAUUUAAAAAAAAUCUUUGCCCAUUGCCUAAGCCUC